AAGCCUGCCCUUCUGCACCUUCAGCUUGAGAUCUCCAAGUGUAAAGGCAGACAAAUGAGAGGUCUCCAUUCAGAAUCAGCAGAGAAUUAGGUCCUCUUUCAGAGAAGCACUCUUCUUGAACAAAGCAGCAUGAGCAAUCACAUCCUUAUUCAGCAAAGCAUGCUGUGCAACAAAAGACUUCACAUGUAUCUAAAGCUGCACCAAAGAAGGGGCAUGGAAACAUCCCAAAGCACCCUUGAAUGCAGGUGGAAUGCAGUGUGCCCUUUCUUGUUUUGAGUAUUAGUGGGGAUACCUUUGAUAUUUAAAAUCAAGCUAGUGGGGUUUGGU